UGCUACAAUACUGCACCCUGACUUUCUUUGCUCAUUUUAUUUCAGGGUGACAGAGGGGAGGCUGGAUCCAAAGGAGAGCAGGGGAGAGCCGGUGAACCUGGGUUGCGAGGUGCUCCUGGGACAACACCGAAUGUCGAACGUGCCCUAGAAGCUCAUGGCAUUAAGAUUUCCUUACUGCGGGAGAUCACUGGAGCUUAUGAUGGAAGUUCUGAUCAAUUUGUCCCUGUCCCUGAUCGAAGGAGAGGACCAAAGGGGGACAGAGGGGAUCCAGGAGAAAGGGGAUUACCAGGCAAAGACGGUGUUAUGGGCUUUCCUGGAGAAAGAGGUCAAAAAGGAGAUAGAGGAGACCAAGGUGCACCAGGCCCACAAGGGCCAAUGGGACGUGCCAUCGGAGAGCGGGGACCAGAAGGACCACCUGGCCAGCCAGGAGAACCUGGGAAACCUGGUAUUCCAGGAGUACCAGGCCGAGCAGGAGAGCUUGGAGAAGCUGGCAGGCCAGGGGAGAAGGGUGAACGUGGUGAAAAAGGUGCUCAGGGAAUCCAGGGGAGAGAUGGCUUACCAGGACCACCAGGGCCACCAGGACCUAAGGUGAAUUAUUUGUUUAUAACGCUGGAUGUAGGCCUUCCAUAAACC
rnacentral:lncRNA from 1 species